UACAUGAUUCCAUAGCGUAAAGUUAGGUCCCGUAAAAUGUUCCGCAAUUGUCCCGCUUCACGUCCAGGACAGAGUUAACAUAAUUAAUUUUUGCAUUUAUAAUUUAAUUUAUGAAAUAAUUAAUAUUCUUUAAAUGUGGAGCACGUUUUCACCUGGUUAUCGUCGAAGAUUAAAUUUAAAUUGGUAAAAAAAUUGUUAUUAGAGAUAAUGAUAAUUUAAAUUUAUUAGAAAAAACAACAUUGAGUAGAGUUGUUAUUUCUCAAGAAGGAAGUUGGGUUACUGUAGAAACAUACGUUGAAGUACUUUUUUUGAUACAUAGCUACGAAACAGAGGCUGUAUCAAAGUUUUCAUGCUAUAGUGCUGCUAAAAACUAUGGAAAUAUGGGAUGUAAAUUGCUUGGUUGUAUGCACGGGAAUGAUAGAAAAGCCUCUUCUAAAGAAGUUUAUAAAAUUCAGUUUUUCUUUAUCAAUUUGUUUCCAAAAUAGCUCCUGUAUUUAAUGAUUAUAUGUCUAAACCUUUUAUUUUUGUUCUUUUGUCUAAUUUUCUUAAUAGGUAUCAGAUCACAGUUUUUCAAAAAGCUAUUUGCUAUAUUUUAAUUUCUUGGUCACCAAGAAAU